rnacentral:rRNA from 1 species
AUUGAACGCUGGCGGCAGGCUUAACACAUGCAAGUCGAGCGGAGACUUCGGUCUUAGCGGCGAACGGGUGAGUAAUACCUAGGAAUCUGCCUAUUAGUGGGGGAUAACGGCUCGAAAGGGUCGCUAAUACCGCAUACGUCCUACGGGAGAAAGUGGGGGAUCUUCGGACCUCACGCUAAUAGAUGAGCCUAGGCCGGAUUAGCUAGUUGGUAGGGUAAAGGCCUACCAAGGCGACGAUCCGUAGCUGGUCUGAGAGGAUGAUCAGCCACACUGGAACUGAGACACGGUCCAGACUCCUACGGGAGGCAGCAGUGGGGAAUAUUGGACAAUGGGGGCAACCCUGAUCCAGCCAUGCCGCGUGUGUGAAGAAGGCCCCUCGGGUUGUAAAGCACUUUAAGCGAGGAGGAAGGUCUUUGAACUAAUAUUUCAAAGAAUUGACGUUACUCGCAGAAUAAGCACCGGCUUAACUCUGUGCCAGCAGCCGCGGUAAAGU